AAAUCAUGUAUAAUAUCUUAUAAUAACUCAUUAUUUUUUUCACUUUACACUGAAUGGAAAAAUUUACAAAAAUAAUGAUUUUAUUUUUAAUUUUUUGUUUUUGCUGUAACAUUUUUAAAUUAUACUUAAUGACUUGAAAUUUUAAUGGAAAUCUUAAAUUUGCUAUUUCUAGAGUUUCUAGGUCAAAUUAUCAAAACGUUUGAACAAUUUCUGAGCUAUUUACAGAUGUUUUAAUUUUGCGAUCUUUUACAUAAUUUUUAUUUGAUACUCUUUUGGAUAAAAUUGUUAGACUAAAUAGAAAUUAUUGAAAAUUCAACAGGAAGUUCAUUAUAAGUUAUACUUUUUGGUAAACAAAAUUGAGGUUAUCGUAUUUUUUUAUGAUAUAAAAUUUUGACAAAAAUUGUAAAUAUAACCUUUUAAAACAUGUAUAGGUAAUCAAAUUUUGCUUCAAAUCUUUUUUCAUUAUUAAUGGUUCAUCAUUGAUUACAGAUUUAAAUUAAAUAAUUUAAUGUAUCCUAUCUUCCCGCUUUUCCACCCACCACAGUGGCACACCUAUCACCAGUAUCGGCACUUUUUUUUUAUUGUUGAUAAUUUAAAUAUACCAAAUAUUUUGUAUGCAAUACUUCAAAUGCAUUAAGAAUAAUGUCCUUAUAGAUUUAAAUUGUAAAUUUUAUAUAAACUGUUGUUAUUUUCAAUAAAUUUAAUAAAAAAUCUUUACAUUAUGUAUGCAAGUAAUAAGAAAAAAAAAUUGCCGUUAAAUUGAAGAUAUUAACCAAAAUAAUAAGUUAUUAUAUUUUACUGGUGUUUAAUAUUGCAAAUGAUUUCAUUAGUUAUUAUUUUAUUAUUAAAUAUUAAGUUGUGUGGAUUAUCUCAUCUUGUUUGUAUUUUAUAAUUGUUUAGAAUGUAUGUGACUAUUAUUAUUAUUGGAUAGAUAUAGACUUAAAAAAAAAAUAAUGAUGUAAUAAUAUUACCUAUAUAGUUAGUCGUUAUUUAUUUAUCUAUUUAUAAAUGUUUUAAUUGUUUUAUGAAUAUUUUAUUUUAAAAAAUAUUCAACAGUAUGUAGUUUUCCUAGUAUUACCUACCGAGUUAAUCAAAAUGUUUAUUUUAGUGUUGUUUAUUAAUUAUAUAAAGCUUUGUUUAAACUUGCAUAUAACUUUUUUCAACUGUAAGCUGUACAGUAACUAGGUAUUUAAAAGUAGAGAGUUCUUGAUAAUUAAAUAUUUUUCUAGUUUUCCUUGUCAAAAAUUAUAAAG